GAUGAACGCUGGCGGCGUGCCUAAUACAUGCAAGUCGAGCGAACGGACGAGAAGCUUGCUUUUCUGAUGUUAGCGGCGGACGGGUGAGUAACACGUGGAUAACCUACCUAUAAGACUGGGAUAACUUCGGGAAACCGGAGCUAAUACCGGAUAAUAUUUUGAACCGCAUGGUUCAAAAGUGAAAGACGGUCUUGCUGUCUCUUAUAGAUGGUUCCGCACUGCAUUAGCUAGUUGGUAAGGUAACGGCUUACCAAGGCAACGAUGCAUAGCCGACCUGAGAGGGUGAUCGGCCACACUGGAACUGAGACACGGUCCAGACUCCUACGGGAGGCAGCAGUAGGGAAUCUUCCGCAAUGGGCGAAAGCCUGACGGAGCAACGCCGCGUGAGUGAUGAAGGUCUUCGGAUCGUAAAACUCUGUUAUUAGGGAAGAACAUAUGUGGAAGUAACUGUGCACAUCUUGACGGUACCUAAUCAGAAAGCCACGGCUAACUACGUG
rnacentral:rRNA from 1 species